GAUAAAGUGGGGGCUCGACGGUGGCCGACGCGGGACAGUCUGGCUGUGGCAGGGGUCUCGGAAACCAUGGGUUAUUGCAAUGGCAGGUGCACGCUGAUCUUUAUCUGUGGCAUGCAACUGGUUUGUGUGCUGGAGAGGCAAAUAUUUGACUUCCUUGGAUAUCAGUGGGCACCUAUCCUGGCAAAUUUUGUACAUAUUAUUAUCGUCAUUCUUGGUUUAUUUGGAACUAUUCAAUAUAGACCUCGUUACAUAAAAGGAUAUGCUGUCUGGCUAGUCCUCUGGGUUACGUGGAAUGUGUUUGUUAUCUGCUUCUACCUGGAGGCCGGGGACCUCUCAAAGGAAACAGACCUUAUCCUGACUUUUAAUAUUUCAAUGCACCGAUCUUGGUGGAUGGAGAAUGGACCAGGAUGUACGGUGACAUCAGUGACACCCGCCCCAGACUGGGCCCCAGAAGACCAUCGCUACAUCACGGUCUCGGGGUGUUUUCUGGAGUACCAGUACAUAGAAGUGGCUCACAGUUCCCUCCAGAUUGUCCUCGCACUGGCAGGGUUCAUCUACGCCUGUUAUGUUGUGAAAUGUAUAACUGAAGAAGAGGACAGCUUUGAUUUCAUAGGUGGCUUUGAUUCUUAUGGCUAUCAAGGGCCUCAGAAGACAUCUCAUUUACAACUGCAGCCUAUGUACAUGCAAAUUCCCUUGGAUAACAACUGAUAACAAAUUCUAUAUAUCAGCAUCAAGUGAUAUGCUGAAUUGCAAGCGAAGAUCAAAAUAGAAAGUCGAAAUAAUACAUAUGGCUUCAUAAUGUCAGCUCCUGGACCUUACAAAAAAAAACUUGUUUCGCAGUGGCCUCCUGCAUUUUAUGAAGAGCAAGAAGCAACUGAGUUUAAGUAUACAUACAUUUUGACAAAACAAACACCAAGCCUCACAUACCAAACACCAAGCCUCACAUACAUUGGGGCACGCGUGCGCGCGCACACACACACACACACACACACACACACACCAGUUCCACUGGGCCUCCUCUUCCUAACUGAAACAAAUGUGCAGGACACGCCCAGCUCGGA